UGUUUCGGCUAGGGGGUCAUCCCGACUUACCAACCCGAUGCAAACUACGAAUACCGAAGAAUGUUAUCACGGGAGACACACGGCGGGUGCUAACGUCCGUCGUGAAGAGGGAAACAACCCAGACCGCCAGCUAAGGUCCCAAAGUCAUGGUUAAGUGGGAAACGAUGUGGGAAGGCACAGACAGCCAGGAUGUUGGCUUAGAAGCAGCCAUCAUUUAAAGAAAGCGUAAUAGCUCACUGGUCGAGUCGGCCUGCGCGGAAGAUGUAACGGGGCUAAACCAUGCACCGAAGCUGCGGCAGCGACACUAUGUGUUGUUGGGUAGGGGAGCGUUCUGUAAGCCUGCGAAGGUGACCUGUGAGGGUUGCUGGAGGUAUCAGAAGUGCGAAUGCUGACAUAAGUAACGAUAAAGCGGGUGAAAAGCCCGCUCGCCGGAAGACCAAGGGUUCCUGUCCAACGUUAAUCGGGGCAGGGUGAGUCGACCCCUAAGGCGAGGCCGAAAGGCGUAGUCGAUGGGAAACAGGUUAAUAUUCCUGUACUUGGUGUUACUGCGAAGGGGGGACG
rnacentral:rRNA from 1 species